rfam:Actinomyces sp. oral taxon 178 str. F0338 genomic scaffold SCAFFOLD2, whole genome shotgun sequence.
CGAGUCGGCCGGGCGGCCGCGUGCGCGUCAGCGCCCGAGGAACGUCCGGGCUCCACAGGGCAGGGUGGUGGCUAACAGCCACCCGGGGCGACCCGCGGGACAGUGCCACAGAAAACAAACCGCCGCCCAGUGCGGUAAGGGUGAAAAGGUGGGGUAAGAGCCCACCAGCGGCGCGGGCGACCGCGUCGGCUAGGUAAACCCCACCCGGAGCAAGACCGAGCAGCAGGCGGAUGGCCCGUCCUCGCCUGCGGGUAGGUCGCUCGAGGCCGUCGGCAACGGCGGUCCUAGAUGGAUGGCCGCCGCCGCGCUCCCGGUGACGGGGCGCGGCACAGAACCCGGCGUACAGGCCGACUCGGCCG